rnacentral:rRNA from 1 species
UACGUAGGUGGCAAGCGUUGUCCGGAUUUAUUGGGUUUAAAGGGUGCGUAGGCGGUCUAUUAAGUCAGUGCUGAAAUAUCCCGGCUUAACCGGGAGGGUGGCAUUGAUACUGUAGGACUUGAGUAAAGUUGAGGUUGGCGGAAUUGACGGUGUAGCGGUGAAAUGCUUAGAUAUCGUCAAGAACACCGAUAGUGUAGACAGCUAACUAAGCUUUAACUGACGCUGAGGCACGAAAGUGUGGGGAUCAAACAGG